rnacentral:rRNA from 1 species
GAUGAACGCUAGCUACAGGCUUAACACAUGCAAGUCGAGGGGUAACGAGAGGAAAGCUUGCUUUCCUUGUCGACGACCGGCGCACGGGUGAGUAACGCGUAUCCAACCUGCCCCCAACUAGGGAAUAACCUUGCGAAAGUAAGACUAAUACCCUAUAAUUUCCUCAGAUGUCAUCUGACGAGGAAUAAAGAUUUAUCGGUUGUGGAUGGGGAUGCGGUCUGAUUAGCUUGUUGGCGGGGUAACGGCCCACCAAGGCAACGAUCAGUAGGGGUUCGGAGAGGAAGGUCCCCCAGAUUGGAACUGAGACACGGUCCACACUCCUACGGGAGGCGGCAGUGAGGAAGAUUGGUCAAUGGGCGGAAGCCUGAACCAGGCAAGUAGCGUGAAGGAUGACGGCCCUAUGGGUUGUAAACUGCUUUUAUACAGGAAUAAAGUUAGCCACGUGUGGUUAUUUGUAGGUACUGUAUGAAUAAGGACCGGCUAAGUCCGUGCCAGCCGGCGCCGUAA